rnacentral:lncRNA from 1 species
AGGGAAAUAAAACCUGAGGUGACAGGAAAGUGGUUUGGCCUGUCCCCUUGCUAAUGUGGGGAAGAGGGUAUUCUUGUGUCUUCCCUGAAGGUGAGGAACAGCCACUUUGGGUACCUUCAAGGCACCUAAAGAGCUUUGGAUGCAGUGAAGUUCCUGGUUGCAGGUGUGAAGAGGCUGAGACUGGAGCCCACAGAGAAACCGAAAGUGUGGCCCUUGAAGCCAAUCGAGCGGUCUCCAAGGAGGAGGCCUCCUGCACAAACUUCAAGGAGGGCGACACCACCAACGUGGGGUCAAAUAAAAAGGCUGAUGCAAAUGUCGGAGGAGGGAGCACGAGGCCUGGGGUUGGGAAAUAACCCUGCAGCUAUAUUUCUGAUGUGUCUGGUAAUCAUAUCCAUUCAGUCUGGUGUUGAGCAUUUCAGCGAACCACCUCUGGACUAAGCACGGAGAGUCUUCGUGAACAUCUAAGAAAUAAGAAAGGGGGAGAUGUGGGGAGCAAAGGAAGGCCUAAGUGAAUUGUGUGUUGUCUGACAUGAGCACGGCCAUGUCAAGGACCCAGUGCCUCAGAUCCAUGGACAUGGCAAGGCCUUUUCCGGGUCAGGCUCAGGGCCAAAGCCUUCCCCUGGUCCAAGCACGAAUGUUGACAGUGUGUACAGAAAGCAGCAACUGCAGCUUCUUCCUCCCAACUGCAGCUUCCUCCUCCUCCUACCUACAGCUUCUUCCUCCUGGAUAUUUACAGCUGAGACUGCUCCCUUACAGAGACCUCCCACCAAGACUAACCCCUCCUCCUUGUGCUGUACAUAAUAAACAUGCUGAGUUUCGGG